GAUGAAGCUGUAUCGUGGGGAAAAAUACGCAAUGUAGCCAAAGCUGUGAAGGUACACUGUGAUGCAACCAUUGCUUUCCCCCUUUUGGUAGCAGAGACAUUUGCAACUAAAGCUAAAAAAAAUUCAAUGACAAUCACUAAGUGACAGUGUGGUCGUGUUCUUGCCUACAUUCAGUUGGACUUCAGUGGUUUGCAUAGCGGGUCAUAAGCGUCGAGCAUAAAUAUAUAGAAAUAAUAUAUGCUCAGUCUUACUAUCAGUUUAAAUUUUUCUCUUGAGACGAAAUAAAUCCUUUAGUUAUAGGUGUGUGCAGAUUUGAUUGGAAUUCAGUGUUGCUUAGGAACUGUGUUUCCUAAAUUUGUCAUUUCUCAAGGAAACACUUGCCCAUAUAUGUUGUGUAACUAUUGUUUGCUUGUCAUUUCUCAAAGAAACAUUUGCCCAAAUAUGUUGUGUAACUAUUGUUUAGAAAUGGCCACUUCCCCUUCUUCAGGAAA